rnacentral:rRNA from 1 species
UACGUAGGGUGCAAGCGUUGUCCGGAAUUAUUGGGCGUAAAGAGCUCGUAGGCGGUUUGUCGCGUCUGCUGUGAAAACUCGGGGCUUAACCCCGGGCCUGCAGUGGGUACGGGCAGACUGGAGGUAUGCAGGGGAGAACGGAAUUCCUGGUGUAGCGGUGAAAUGCGCAGAUAUCAGGAGGAACACCGGUGGCGAAGGCGGUUCUCUGGGCAUGUCCUGACGCUGAGGAGCGAAAGUGUGGGGAGGCGAACAGG